rnacentral:rRNA from 1 species
AUUGAACGCUGGCGGCAUGCCUUACACAUGCAAGUCGAACGGCAGCACGGGGGCAACCCUGGUGGCGAGUGGCGAACGGGUGAGUAACAUAUCGGAACAUACCCUAGAGUGGGGGAUAACGUAGCGAAAGUUACGCUAAUACCGCAUACGAUCUAAGGAUGAAAGUGGGGGAUCUUCGGACCUCAUGCUCAUGGAGUGGCCGAUAUCUGAUUAGCUAGUUGGUGAGGUAAAGGCUCACCAAGGCGACGAUCAGUAGCUGGUUUGAGAGGACGACCAGCCACACUGGGACUGAGACACGGCCCAGACUCCUACGGGAGGCAGCAGUGGGGAAUAUUGGUCAAUGGAUGCAAGUCUGAACCAGCCAUGCCGCGUGCAGGAAGAAGGCCUUCUGGGUUGUAAACUGCUUUUGCCAGGGGGAUAAAAUUUCCAUGCGUGGAAAACUGAAGGUACCUGGUGAAUAAGCCACGGCUAACUACGUGCCAGCAGCCGCGGUAAUC